CCCUUAGAUGUCCUGGGCUGCACGCGCGCUACACUGAUGUGUCCAGUAAGCACCUAACCUCUUCCGAAAGGAACGGGUAACCUUUGCAAAGCACAUCGUGAUGGGGAUAGAUUAUUGCAAUUAUUAGUCUUGAACGAGGAAUUACUAGUAAGCACAAGUCAUCAGCUUGUGUUGAUUACGUCCCUGCCCUUUGUACACACCGCCCGUCGCUCCUACCGAUUGAAUGUUCCGGUGAGCUCUUCGGACUGCGCGGUCUGCAGUUUCUGCGUUCCGUGCGGAAAGUUGCGCAAACCUUAACAUUUAGAGGAAGGAGAAGUCGUAACA
rnacentral:rRNA from 1 species